rnacentral:rRNA from 1 species
CAGCAGCCGCGGGAAUACGGAGGGUGCAAGCGUUAAUCGGAAUUACUGGGCGUAAAGCGCACGCAGGCGGUCUGACAAGUCAGAUGUGAAAUCCCCGGGCUUAGCCUGGGAACUGCAUUUGAAACUGUCAGGCUGGAGUCUUGUAGAGGGGGGUGGAAUUCCAGGUGUAGCGGUGAAAUGCGUAGAGAUCUGGAGGAAUACCGGUGGCGAAGGCGGCCCCCUGGACAAAGACUGACGCUCAGGUGCGAAAGCGUGGGGAGCAAACAGGAUUAGAUACCCGUGUAGUCCCUGUCUCUUAUAC